AGUGAACGCUGGCGGUAGGCCUAACACAUGCAAGUCGAACUGCAGCACAGUAAGAGCUUGCUCUUACGGUUGGCGAGUGGCGGACGGGUGAGGAAUACAUCGGAAUCUACUUUUUCGUGGGGGAUAACGUAGGGAAACUUACGCUAAUACCGCAUACUACCUACGGGUUAAAGUAGGUGAUCUUCGGACCUUGCGCGAUUGAAUGAGCCGAUGUCGGAUUAGCUAGUUGGCGGGGUAAAGGCCCACCAAGGCGACGAUCCGUAGCUGGUCUGAGAGGAUGAUCAGCCACACUGGAACUGAGACACGGUCCAGACUCCUACGGGAGGCAGCAGUGGGGAAUAUUGGACAAUGGGCGCAAGCCUGAUCCAGCCAUACCGCGUGGGUGAAGAAGGCCUUCGGGUUGUAAAGCCCUUUUGUUGGGAAAGAAAAGCAGCAGGUUAAUACCCCGCUGUUCUGACGGUACCCAAAGAAUAAGCACCGGCUAACUUCGUG
rnacentral:rRNA from 1 species